AAAAGCCACUGAGCUGUAGUCCCCAGGCAGCAACUCACUAUCACGCUGAGGCCUCCUGGCUUUGGACACACCCUUUGUUCAUCUUCUCCACCAUGAAGCUCAGUCCUAAAGCCAUCACCUCCUGCACCAGUGCCAGACCAUUUUGUGCCCUACAAGUCUUACUGCUGUCAUCACUGCUCUUGACCAUGCUGCUUCCCUCCACUACUGGACAAAGAAUAAACAUAUAAACAUACUCUGAACUGCGCUGCACAUGUGUGAGGACAACAUCUGGAAUUCAUCUGUGUAGCAUCAGCAAAUUGGAGAUGAUCAGACCGGGAGCUCAUUGCGCCAAAACAGAGUUGAUAGCCACAACAAAAGAUGGGAAGAAAAUCUGUCUGGACACAGAAGCCCCAAGAAAAAGAGACUAAUCCAGAAAAUGUUAGAGUGUGAAGGAUCAGCUGAUUAAUCUGUUCUUGUUCUUUUAGACUGCUUAUCCCCCAUAAAAGGGUAGAUUUGAGAAAUCUUAACUUGCCAGAAUUCUUCUUUAUCCAGAAUAUUUGCCACUGUAUUAAAAUUGGACUCUGAAACAGUGCAUUCCAUAAAGGCUGGCUCAGCAAUAUGACAGAAAAAUGAAAACAGACACAUCCAUAGGAUUCUCUACUCUCUGAUUCAUGGCUAUAUAUUGGACAGUGCUUGCUUUGGAUAUCCUUAUUUGAAGAUUUCUUUCCAAAUGUAUCUGUGUUCAUUGUUUUCACUGUGUCACUGUUAGAGUAGACAAGGGGCAGUCUUAGGAAUUGCUCAGAGCCCAGCACAGUUAUUUGUAUGCUUAAUGUGUGUUAACAGAGAUUUUGAUUUGUUAGUUUUGCAAGAUCUUGCUUCUUGGAACUCUGAAAGGUGUUUCUGAUGUUUACUUAUGCAUUUGAACCCUAAAAAUGAUAAAGUUCUUUGAUGCUAA